rnacentral:rRNA from 1 species
UACGAAGGGGACUAGCGUUGUUCGGAAUCACUGGGCGUAAAGCGCACGUAGGCGGAUUUGUAAGUCAGGGGUGAAAUCCCGGGGCUCAACCUCGGAACUGCCUUUGAUACUGCGAAUCUUGAGUCCGAUAGAGGUGGGUGGAAUUCCUAGUGUAGAGGUGAAAUUCGUAGAUAUUAGGAAGAACACCAGUGGCGAAGGCGGCCCACUGAUCGGUACUGACGCUGAGGUGCGAAAGCGUGGGGAGCAAACAGG